UUCCCACUGUCUCAGAUGGUAAAGAAUCCACCUGCAAUUUGGGAGACCUGGGUUUGAUCCCCGGGUUGGGAA
rnacentral:tRNA from 1 species